rnacentral:rRNA from 1 species
AGGAUGAACGCUGGCGGCGUGCCUAAUACAUGCAAGUCGUACGGAAAGGCCUCUUCGGAGGUACUCGAGUGGCGGACGGCUGAGUAACGCGUAGGAACGUACCCCAAAGUGAGGAAUAACUGCUCGAAAGAGUAGCUAAUACCGCAUGUGAUCUUCGGAUUAAAGCCUUCGGGCGCUUUGGGAACGGCCUGGCGUAUGAUUAGCUUGUUGGUGAGGUAAAGGCUCACCAAGGCGACGAUCAUUAGCUGGUCUGAGAGGAUGACCAGCCAGACUGGGACUGAGACACGGCCCAGACUCCUACGGGAGGCAGCGAGUA